GGCCUCCAUCUUGAAAACGGAAAAUAAAAACAGCAGACCUAUGAAGGUCGAAGGGGAAGAAAAGCUGUAUCGAUUGUUGAGAUCUGGCGACUUGUUUAAAUUUCAUCAGCCUCACUUCUAUGAACUCUCAGGAAAUUCUUCCUGGAAUCCUGUAGUAAACUUUCAGAGGAAAAAGGCAAAUAAAGUUAAAUUUCCUUGAGGAAUGCUGAAUAUAAAAAAAAAGGUCCUCGUAAGAACUUCCAUUUUAUGUUCUUGUCUUCUCAUCAGUUUGAGUUGUGUCUUUAACAUUGGAGAGAAAAACAACUUGCAAGAUUUUCUUUCAGUAUGAACCAUUCUGAGGUCCUUCAAUUCUUUAGCUGAUUACCAACUCCUACCACUGUUAACCCUCAUCCAGGAACAAGCUUAUGUCUUUAACAUUCUGAGUGGGCUUCAGCAUCCUUGCAUAUGUUCAAUUCUUAAAAACCUGUUGAAAUAAAAGAUCAGGAGACAUAGGAAGGAUGCCAGAAGAGAGCGUGGCCUCACGUGUACCAGCUCUCUGCUCUCCUUUGCCUUGGGACGUUCCAUCCCUGGAAGUUUCCCUGCCCACAUCUUUGUAGAGAGUCCAUUCUCCAAGCUUCAGUGUGUCAUCUGUGAGGACCGUGACCCACCUGGUACAUCGCCUCAGGGCAUUCAUUUCAGGCUCCUUCUAAAUGGCCAAGUUGAUAUAGUUGAAGACAAGAGAAUUCCAUUUUGAUACACAUGUCAUCAGAGUGUCAUAAGCCAGUGGUGUAUUAUUGCUUUGGAGCUUUGUUGGCAGUUCAAGUUUUGUUCAGGUGUCGACCACAACAACAAAAGUUUCAGGAGACUUACUAUGUGCUCAACAUUGUAUUAGGUAUUAUGGUUGACCCUAAAGAAGCAUCAGCUUGGCUUUGCACCAAAGAAGUUUUUAGUCAAGUUGGAGAGAGAUCACUACUCAAAGAACGCAAGAGACUAAUGGAAGACAGAAUAUAUUGGCAGCAGACUAAAAGGCAGAAUGGUCACACUUCAAAAUGUUUGGUACAAGCUAUGGUGAUGUUAUUGAUCUUCUGAUUUGAUGUUCCUGUGAAGGUUCUAUGACCUAUUUUGAUAUGUAGACAGUGGUAAAAUGCUCAAAGCUCUUUGCUACGAUAUGUAAUAACAAAGGGAACAGUAAAAAAUAUUCUGUUUAAAUAA
ensembl:lncRNA TEX41 testis expressed 41